AGUAACGGCGAGUGAAGCGGCAACAGCUCAAAUUUGAAAUCUGGCCUCUUUGGGGUCCGAGUUGUAAUUUGUAGAGGAUGUUUCGGGUACCGCCUCGGUUUAAAUUUCUUGGAACAGAAUGUCAAAGAGGGUGAGAAUCCCGUCUUGGACCGGCGGUAGGGCCCAUGUGAAACUCCUUCGAC
rnacentral:rRNA from 1 species